CUCCAGUAUAUUGGCGAAUUCGGUUCUUUGUACUUAAUUUAUUAGCAUGAUUUAUUUUUUAAUAUGUUGUGUACAGACUUAAUUACUUCUCUGUCUACUUUUCUUACUCCAUGUAGGUUUCCCAGACACUAUGGGUUGAGGAGGAAUUGGAAGUUUGUCGGCUUAGACCUGGUGUCAUUCCAUCAGUGUUAAACUUCCCGGCUCAUCCUGGAAGAGUACGUGCCAGAAAGACCACGACCAAGCAGCCUUGAGAUCUUAGGCAGCGUCUCCCUGAGACCAAAGAAGUACAGACUCUUCACAACCUGCUCAAACUCUUCGUACAAGACCUCACCACACGGGUCAAGAAGGUUUCCAUCUCAUUUCUACUCUGAAGCUCACCUUCUCCUGCUCAAACUGCUGACAAAUGUUUCUGCUGCUCUAAAGUCUGGUCUCCAGAACUUCCUAAAAACUCUCAAAGUCUCUUCUGCUGCAGGUUGCUUUGUAGAACUGUUCCAGAAAACCUCACUAAACCACAUGGAGGGGCCUCAAGAUAGUCGUCCAAAUGAAACCAUACAAAAACCAAACUAGCACAACCUAAACGCUAAAGUCUCCUGCAGCCUACCAGAGAACCUCUGAGAACAGAGAAUCAGGACAGGAACUCUUACCUUCUGGACAACCAAGAAUACAGAAUGUGUCUGACCAAAAACCUCUAAAGACUCACUACAGCCAAGAUAAGACACAACUCAGCUGCACCAAAUCCACUAAUCACUGCACACAUUAGCACCAUGUGCCAACUGUGGCUAAAGAACCACAUUUACCAAGACAAUUAUCCAGUACAAAGCCCUAAAACACACCAAGAAACACAUUAAAGACGAUUUUACUGCUGGAAGCUGCAAGCCAACGCCUAAAGAACAAACU
ensembl:lncRNA